AACGAACGCUGGCGGCAGGCCUAACACAUGCAAGUCGAGCGCCCCGCAAGGGGAGCGGCGCACGGGUGAGUAACGCGUGGGAAUAUGCCCUGGGGCUGGGGAUAACGGCGGGAAACUGCCGCUAAUACCCGGUACGCCUUGAGAGGGAAAGGAGCAAUCCGCCCUGGGAGUAGCCCGCGUUGGAUUAGCUAGUUGGUGAGGUAAGAGCUCACCAAGGCGACGAUCCAUAGCUGGUCUGAGAGGAUGAUCAGCCACACUGGGACUGAGACACGGCCCAGACUCCUACGGGAGGCAGCAGUGGGGAAUAUUGGACAAUGGGCGAAAGCCUGAUCCAGCCAUGCCGCGUGAGUGAUGAAGGCCUUAGGGUUGUAAAGCUCUUUCGCCAGGGAAGAUAAUGACGGUACCUGGAAAAGAAGCCUCGGCUAACUCCGUGCCAGCAGCCGC
rnacentral:rRNA from 1 species